CAUGUCUCCAUGCUUGCACUAUCCAAUCUUGGCCCAAAAAUGCUCCAAAGUGCUCCAAAUAGCACUUUGUUGCCAACUUUGUUAUUUGAACCUACAAACACACGAAAAUAGCUUAAAGUACUAAAAUAACUAGAAUUAAACUAAGUAAAUGCCAAGAAACAAGCUCACUAAGUUGCAUAAAUAUGCUCCUAUCAUAGCACAGGCUGCACAGCUGCACAGCUGCAUAGAUUCAGUUUCAAACAUUACAUUCCAACCAUUACAGCGGCACAUAUACAAACAUCAUUCAAACAUCAUUUGUUUGAUUUAUGUUAGAGGAUAUGCAGACUCAAUUUGGUACUAGACUUGAAUCUGUUUUACUCUUUGAAUUAAACAUGGAGGAAUCAAAGGACUAAAGGCAUCUGAAUAUCACAUUCGCAAUAUAUGUGAGUUAUAUGUAUCUUUAUAUGUUCCUACGAUUUUUAAAAACUAAGCAAUUAAAUGUUAAUUGCUCAGUCCACAGGACCACAACAAAUGGAUAAAUUAUUUCUCACCAUCCAUGCAUUUUCAAGACUCUGGUCUGUGUUCUCUGAGUUAACUUUUAAUGCCAGCGAGCUGAGCAACUCCGCUUGUUGCAUCAAACCAAUUAUCUUUGGGUCAUCCUUCUUGAGAAAUGAUCCUUGAAACUUGCUAUUUUGUACUGCUAAUAAAUGAAAGUAAGAGUGACCUUAGAGUUUUAUAGUUGAAAACAUAUAAAUCAAUGCGUAAUGAAUUUUCAAAUGAUAAAUAGGCCAACUUUCUGCUGACCCAAUACAAACAAUAUUCUUAUGUUCUCACACAUUUCUUGCAAUGUGCUUUCCAGGCAUUGUAAAGAAAUUUGAUGAGUUGCCGAACAAGUUUCAAUUUGAGGUGAUUUACCAUUCCCGGGACUUCCUUGGUGCUAUGCCCGUUAUGCUGGUCUUGCAGAUUCUCUACAUUGGGAGCAUUCUGAAUCAACACAGUAAACGGAUGUCUUAGCUACUGAUUUAUCUUUUCACACUGCUCAAGUAGUCUGUCCCCAGAGGUGCAAUUUUUGGAGAGACUAGGGAUGUGGCUUCUCCUGCGCUGCACAAAGAAAACCAAGUACACACACAGAAACCUAUAUAAAACACCAACAAUCAGUAAUUCAACAAAAUGAUGAUCAACUCACUUCAGCAUUCUCGUGAUUUCAUGAAACCCAAUAAAGAAAAUUAGCUCAGUAAACAUGUAUAUGAACAUAUGUGUGUAUCUAUCUGUGUGUGUUGUCUAAGCAACAAAAUGGUGCUCGUUUAUCGAUCAAAGUGGUGCGGGUGCUUGGGUUCUGUGAUGUCGGGAUGGUGAAGGAGACGACGAGGCGAGACGGCGAGAGACAAUGGAGUCGAGUUCAAGGAAUCCAGUGACAGAGUCGAGCUCAAGGAGACCUAGGUGGGGUAAAACUAACAGUUCAGAUUGAUGGUAAGUUCCUUUUCAAUCUCGUCCGUUCAUUGCAAUUACAAACGGGCCUGUCCGUGUACCCAUUUUUCUAUACUUCUGGAACUGGC
rnacentral:lncRNA from 1 species